rnacentral:rRNA from 1 species
UACGGAGGGUGCGAGCGUUGUCCGGAAUCACUGGGCGUAAAGGGCGCGUAGGCGGCCUGGCAAGUCGAUGGUGAAAGCCCGAGGCUCAACUUCGGGUCGGCCACUGAUACUGCUGGGCUUGAGUCGACUAGAGGCAGAUGGAAUUCCGGGUGUAGCGGUGGAAUGCGUAGAGAUCCGGAAGAACACCGGUGGCGAAGGCGGUCUGCUGGGGUCGAACUGACGCUGAGGCGCGACAGCGUGGGGGGCAAACAGG